GAUAGCUCAGUCGGUAGAGCAAUCGGCUGUUAACCGAUCGGUCGCAGGUUCGAGUCCUGCUC
rnacentral:tRNA from 1 species